CAGAUGGAAGUCUAUUAGGUAGGACGCUUAUUUUGGGAAUAAGAGGCUACAGGUUCGAGCCCUGUUCAUCUGA
rnacentral:tRNA from 2 species